rnacentral:tRNA from 1 species
GGCCCCAUCGUCUAAUGGAUAGGACAGCAGGCUUUCAAUCUGCUAAUAGGGGUUCGAUUCCCCUUGGGGCCG